UACGUAGGGAGCAAGCGUUGUCCGGAAUCAUUGGGCGUAAAGCGCGCGUAGGCGGCCCGAUAAGUCCGCUGUAAAAGUCAACGGCUCAACUGUUGAAAGCCGGUGGAUACUGUCGGGCUAGAGUACGGAAGAGGCAAGUGGAAUUCCUGGUGUAGCGGUGGAAUGCGCAGAUAUCUGGAGGAACACCGGUGGCGAAGGCGGCAUCCUGGACCGGCAUUGACGCUGAGGCGCGAAAGCCAGGGGAGCAAAGCGGGG
rnacentral:rRNA from 1 species